AUGAACGCUGGCGGCGUGCCUAAUACAUGCCAGUCGAGCGAACAGAUGAGGAGCUUGCUCCUCUGACGUUAGCGGCGGACGGGUGAGUAACACGUGGAUAACCUACCUAUAAGACUGGGAUAACUUCGGGAAACCGGAGCUAAUACCGGAUAAUAUAUUGAACCGCAUGGUUCAAUAGUGAAAGACGGUUUUGCUGUCACUUAUAGAUUGAUCCGCGCCGCAUUAGCUAGUUGGUAAGGUAACGGCUUACCAAGGCAACGAUGCGUAGCCGACCUGAGAGGGUGAGCGGCCACACUGGAACUGAGACACGGUCCAGACUCCUACGGGAGGCAGCAGUAGGGAAUCUUCCGCAAUGGGCGAAAGCAUGACGGAGCAACGCCGCGUGAGUGAUGAAGGUCUUCGGAUCGUAAAACUCUGUUAUUAGGGAAGAACAAAUGUGUAAGUAACUAUGCACGUCUUGACGGUACCUAAUCAGAAAGCCACGGCUAACUACGUG
rnacentral:rRNA from 1 species